rnacentral:rRNA from 1 species
GACGUAGGGCGCGAGCGUUGUCCGGAUUUAUUGGGCGUAAAGAGCUCGUAGGCGGCUUGUCGCGUCGUCCGUGAAAACUUGGGGCUCAACCCCAAGCUUGCGGUCGAUACGGGCAGGCUAGAGUUCGGUAGGGGAGACUGGAAUUCCUGGUGUAGCGGUGAAAUGCGCAGAUAUCAGGAAGAACACCCGUGGCGAAAGCGGCUCUCUGGAACGGUACUGACGCUGAGACGCGAAAGCGUGGGGAGCGAACAGG